UACAGCGAUUUGGAAAGCACCAGAGUACCUUUCCUUUCCCCUCCAGGACAAACCGCUUUCCCCUGAAUUGGUCUCUUUGAGCAGCUUACUGGGACCUACAUAAAUAACACUUUUAGCUCAGCAGGUAGUUGCCAUGGAAACCUUACACACUAGUUACUGGAGACAUAGGAAUUAAAUAUACAAUACCAUUCUAUACCAACCACAGUGUGGGGUCAAAGAAUAACAUCAAGGAGGAAAUAGAAAUAAUGAGUCUGGCCAAAGCCUUGUCAGAUCAUGGGGGCUACUGUGUCCCUAACCCCUAAGAUGUGGAAAGGAUGGUUGUACUCUAUAAUUCUUUGGCCGCUCCCUCUAAUUGAGUGUCUUCUCCUAGAAGCUCCAUUCAAGAAGAAUACUCAGGUGGCCUUGAAUUUUUGGAGCAUAUUACUGACAAGAUCAAGAACUUGGAAGGACUAUUAUAAUUCAUGGAGGAAACCAGAAAAAAGGAGUGAAAAACCAGAGGCUGGAAUUUUCUUUGAUUUUAAUAAUUCAUACUCCCCUGAAGCUGCAGUGAAUCUAUUGUAGAAAAGAUGAUUUGAUUUGUGAAAAAAAGAGAGCAGAAAAAUGAAGGUAUGCUGCUCCACAAGGCUUUAAAGUUAGUAUUUAUGGGUCUUCUUACUUCU